ensembl:lncRNA
GGGGGGGAAGAGGGGGAAGGUUUAGCAUCAGAAUUAGCAAUUAGCAUCAGAAAGAAGACACAUAUGUAACUGGGACUUCCUUUUGAAGAAAGCGGGCUUCGGAUUCCCAACAACAGCAAGAAGAAAAUUACUUAAGAAAAAGCAACUUGCAAAUCCCAGACCGGGCGUCUGUUUGUGCGCGAUUCUAAACGAAGCUUUACCAUUUCUUAACUAAUGAGGAUCUUUUCCACGUGGGAUAAAUUCUUAGCACUUAGCAGCAUUAGUAAUGCUUCAAGGAAAAAAAAAAAAGUAUUUCGGAUGGCUCAGUUGCCAACUGCCUACGACUGUCUCGGUGAGAUGCUGAAACGGACCUUCUGCUCUAAAUUAAUAAGGCCAAUCUCCAACCAACACACAAAGCCCGGAAUGACCGCUUAUUCUUCUGGUCUCCUCGCUAUCUUUACUGAGGUCAGAUAAAUCACUUUCAAGCUGUUAAAUCAAUGAUCAUAAAUUAGGGCUCUGUUUUUACAGCGCCUUGUGGGAAAUUCUCAUGGUUAAAUUAAUCUAACAGCUGCAGUGAAGAGCACCUCCCACCAGAUCAUGUCAAAAGUUCUCCCCUCGCCCCACUUUCUUCUUUUUUUUUUGCUUCCAAAGGGGAAAAACGACUGAAUUAUUUGUCUUUACCUAGCGCACAAAAUGGAAUCCCUCAGUCUGUCCCUGCUAAUUCGUGUUUCAAUUGUACCCAGCUGUUUAAAUUGCGCUGCGCAGAGAUUGCCUUGAUCCCCAGGUGCUGGUACUCCAUCUGUGCUGCUCCGAGAGACUAUUUACAGCAGAGGUUAGGCCAGCGAUUGCUGGGAUGGAAAACUCAUUUCUCAGCCUGGCUUUUAUUUACACUCUUAUUAAAGAUCCUUUCACUCACGUUGGAAUGGCAGCUCGUGGCUGCACUGAGCGCUUGGCGUGGAGCCAAGCAGCAGAAAUUACCAUGUCGAUGAAAGAUAGCCUGCUUCCAUUUUAACCUUUCCC